AGCUCGUGUCGUGAGAUGUUGGGUUAAGUCCCGCAACGAGCGCAACCCUUGCCUUUAGUUGCCAUCAUUCAGUUGGGCACUCUAGAGGGACUGCCGGUGUCAAACCGGAGGAAGGUGGGAUGACGUCAAGUCCUCAUGGCCUUUAUGCCCAGGGCUACACACGUGCUACAAUGGGCGGUACAAAGAGCAGCGAGCUCGCGAGAGUAAGCAAAUCUCAAAAAGCCGUCCUCAGUUCGGAUUGGAGUCUGCAACUCGACUCCAUGAAGUUGGAAUCGCUAGUAAUCGCGGAUCAGCAUGCCGCGGUGAAUACGUUCCCGGGCCUU
rnacentral:rRNA from 1 species